AAAGAAUUAGUUAAUAAAAAAUAUAACAUUAAUUUGUCAAAUUAAAAUAACCUUGAAAGUAUUCUUUC
rnacentral:tRNA from 1 species